UGCCCAGCAACUCCUAUCCCUACCUCCUCGUGGUACCGGCCGGAAACUACGAGCAACUUUAGGGAAGAUCGAAUAACCAACCCCGGUGGGAACUUUGGUCGUCUGACAGGGAAGG
rnacentral:ribozyme from 1 species